AAACGGUCAUACGGCAUCUCCGCGGAGAA
rnacentral:sRNA from 1 species